UACUGGUAUUAACCAUGAUAUCUGACUGUUGCUAACCCUAUAGGUACUGGUAUUAACCAUGAUAUCUGACUGUGUUUAACCCUGUAGGUACUGGUAUUAACCAUGAUAUCUGACUGUUUUAACCCUGUAGGUACUGGUAUUAACCAUGAUAUCUGACUGUUGUUAACCCUGUAGGUACUGGUAUUAACCAUGAUAUCUGACUGUUAUUAACCCUGUAGGUACUGGUAUUAACCAUGAUAUCUGACUGUGUUUAACCCUGUAGGUACUGGUAUUAACCAUGAUAUCUGACUGUUGUUAACCCAGUAGGUACUGCUAUUAACCAUGAUAUCUGACUGUGUGUAACCCUGUAGGUACUGGUAUUAACCAUGAUAUGACUGUGUGUAACCCUGUAGGUACUGGUAUUAACCAUGAUAUCUGACUGUGUGUAACCCUGUAGGUACUGGUAUUAACCAUGAUAUCUGACUGUUGUUAACCCAGUAGGUACUGCUAUUAACCAUGAUAUCUGACUGUUGUUAACCCUGUAGGUACUGGUAUUAAACAUGAUAUCUGACUGUUUUUAACCCUGUAGGUACUGCUAUUAACCAUGAUAUCUGACUGUUGUUAACCCUGUAGGUACUGGUAUUAACCAUGAUCUGACUGUUUUUAACCCUGUAGGUACUGGUAUUAACCAUGAUAUCUGACUGUUUUUAACCCUGUAGGUACUGGUAUUAACCAUGAUCUGACUGU